GGCUGCAUUUAGCAUAGUGGUUUGGGUGUUGGACUAUGACUCUGGAGACCAGGGUUUGAAUCCCAUCUCAGCCA